rnacentral:lncRNA from 1 species
GUGUGGGUGCUGGGUCAUCUGGAAGAGCAGCCAGUGCUCAUAAAGGCAGAGCCACCUCUCCAGCCCCUCCGCUCAGCCCCUUACAGAUGUGACAGUCUGACCCAUCAACUGCCUGACCUCUAUGUACAUUCAUCACCAUGUGAUACCUGCAUCCCUGUCUGCCAAGUGGUGUACUAGGUAUUUCAGCAAUGAACUGGGGCCCUAGAUUGGAAAGCGGGCCUCAGGUUCAGGGUGAGGGUACCCAGAAGUUAAUUAAAGGGAGUUGACUGUAGAGUUGAGAUUUGAAUCAUAAGGAGUCUUUCAGCAGGGGCUCUGGGAGGGAAGAGCUCUCUCAGUAAGGAACUCUGGGUGGGAAGGAGUCUCUCUGGGUGGGAAGGGGUCUCUAAGUAGGGGGUUGUGGGUAGGAAGGGGGUCUCUGGGUGCGAAGGGUCUCUCUGGGUGGGGUUCUACUCCAUGAACAGGAGUUGCAAAUUACUCAGUGUGUUUUUAGAGUGGUGGGGACAACUCUAACUUGAGCAAAAAUUUGGGAGGAAUGAAAGUGUGGAGCCAAGUUUGAUAACAUGUAUCUGCCAUCCCAGCAACACAGGAAGCUGAGACAGGAGGAUAGCAAGCAACAGACAUUGCCUCAAGGAAUGGCAAAACUGAAAGGUAGUGGGAGAUGAGCAGGAAGGUCUGCAAAUGUCAGCUGAGGGUCAGAAGCUCAUUCCAGUGCCAGGGGGACCUUAGGGUUUACACAGGCUGACAGCGGUGUCACAAACCUCCCCACACAGAUGGGUCCAAGGGGACUUCUGUGGUAUGCACAGGUUCUGAGCCUGUGUAAGGGCUUUAGACACACCCCAGGGAAAGAGGGGCUGGGUCUCUCCACAGCCGAGCUUGCCCUUGCUUCCUGGUCUCCUUGCACCUCCUAGAUAUAGAUGAGUGCAGCCAGGACCCAGGCCUGUGCCUGCCCCACGGGGCCUGCGAGAAUCUCCAGGGCUCCUAUGUCUGUGUCUGCGAUGAGGGUUUCACACUCACCCAGGACCAGCAUGGAUGUGAGGAGGUGGAGCAGCCCCACCACAAGAAGGAAUGCUACCUUAACUUUGAUGACACAGUGUUCUGUGACAGUGUAUUGGCUACCAAUGUCACCCAGCAGGAGUGUUGUUGCUCUCUGGGGGCCGGCUGGGGAGACCAUUGUGAAAUCUAUCCCUGUCCAGUCUACAGCUCAGCUGAAUUUCACAGCCUGUGUCCUGAUGGAAAGGGCUACACUCAAGACAACAACAUCGUGAACUAUGGCAUUCCAGCCCACCGUGACAUCGACGAAUGCAUAUUGUUUGGGGCAGAGAUCUGUAAGGAGGGCAAGUGCGUGAAUACGCAACCCGGCUACGA